rnacentral:lncRNA from 1 species
UUUAAAAAAACGUAAAAUACAUAAAAUCUCAGAUCUUGCGGCAUGUUUUGUAUGUGUGUGCGUGUGUGUGUGUGUGUGUGCGUGCGCGUGUGCGUGCGUGUUUGUGCCUGAUCUGUAAAUAUUCAUCCUUUUUCUUUCUAAAAAUUUAAAUCUCGUUCCUUGACUUAUUAAUCUGUAUUAUUCUGCCACUUUAAUUGUUUCGUAAAUUUACAUAUAAAACUCCUCUUACAUAAAAUUGGAACUUUUUUUUCAAGAAUAGUUUAAAUUGUCAAAUUUAAAUAGCGUUUACAGAACUCAAGUCAUAUUAGUAUCUAAAAAAAUAUUUUAAUUUAAAAGAAGAAUAUUGAAAAUUUAAUUCAUCUUAAAAAACCAUUUACUUUAUAUACAAAGUAUAUGAAUAAAUAAUAUAUAAAAUAAUAUACAAAAGAAAUAUAUAAAAGAAUAAAAUAAUAGUCCAAAAAAUUCGCGACUAUUGAUUAAAAAGUCGUACAUGAAUUUCCUUAAAGGUUUGUCUGUGCAACACACAAAAAGAAUUCUUUGUCUACAGACAAUAUAAAAUAUUUGUUUUUUUUUUUGCAUAUAUAUACAUAUACAUACAUACAUAUAUAUACAAUAUAUAUAUAUACACACACACACACACGCGCGAAUAAGAAAGAAAAAAUUGGAAUAGCUAUAUAAAAAUCGGAUAUCUAUUGUAUCGCAAUCAAUCACUGCAUUUCUCACUUGCGUUCCGUUCUAUCACCGAUCGCUCUACAUUCUAAAUACGCAUGGCUGAGCAAAUCGAACGUUUCCACCACGUGCUAAACCUUUUAACACUUUCGUCUUUUUAACAUUGCCUCCUUCGGUUUGUUAGAUUACACGUAAUUCGACGUACUCCAAAGUACAGAAUAGUAUACAGAAAAUCGAUAUCAGAACGAUAUCACAUACCGAUUGGUGAGAGCCAAUAUUUUCAAAAAAGAAAAUAAUGAGAAUUUGGCGCGACAAACCGAACAUGACAUGCGCCCAAGUCUAUCGCAAUACGUGCAUAUAUGCUUGCAUAAAUAUCAGUCCCGUAUAUCAGAUAUCAGAGCGAGAUGGUAGUUAUUGAUAACAACGCGAGGGCGCCACGCGACGGCAGAUGGAAUUUUGUCAGCAUAACCGACAGCGAAUUUUGUUACGGAUCACGGAGAAUAGAAUUAAAAGUCCUGUAGAAAGUAUGAAGUAAUAAUGCUAUGUCAAAUUGACUUCGAUAUGCAUUUAAAUACAUCUUUUUAAAAAAUUAUUUUGCAAUUAUUCCUUUCGACUUGGUAAUCAUAUCGUGACCACCUAAUAAAGCAUCAACUUUUUAAACUCAUUUAUUCAUGUUUCCUCGAUAUAUGCGAAUUAUUUGUGCUGACUGCAAAUUUAUAUAAUAUUAAAAACGUAAAUUUCUUGCGACCUGCACGAUGUAUCUAUCUACCGUUAAUCGAGGAAGGUAUUGCGUUAGAGCAAGACAAAUUGGUGGAAUACAUUGCAAACCUCGUCGCCGGAUCUAAAAAAGUAAAAUAUUGUUUAAUAAAAAAAAAAUUAUCUUUUAGUCGUUAAAAUAGUAACCAAGUAAUCAAGUUACAAAUUUCAUGCGAAGAUUCUGCGGCUUGCUCGACAGUGUCGCGUUUAAUUUCACGAAGCUUUAGCGAGAAUUAAGUAUAUCCCGAAUAUGCAGGUAUCUAUCUAGAUAAAUUGAUGCAUAUAUCGAUUGUGCGUGCGUGUAUGCGUGCGUAUGCGUGUAUGUACACCGUGCGCUCUCCCGCAAAUCAAAACCCGGGCCUCGCCCGGGAGACGUUGAAUAAUAAUUACUGUUGUCGGCUCGCGACACGGUACUAUUGAGUUAUUCCAAUGCGAGUUUAUCAAAGUGGGUCAAGCGAUUCAAUAGCGGCCGCGACGGAGGAGAAACGGACUCAUCGUCUUUAACGGCGUGGGUGGUGGACGUGUGUGCUCGUGUCAUAAAAACCGCGUAUGUAGGAGUCGUUUACGUGUUACCGGUUGUACACCAAUCCGGGAGUAUUUGCGUUUAUGGAGAAAGAAAACGGGGAGAAAGAAAAGGAAAAAAGAUUCUUUCGCGCGUCAAAAUCGGUGGAAAUAUCUCGGUGCAACGACGAGAGACGUUAUCCCUGGCAUUUCUUUUAAUCAUACGUGGAAGUGGAUUGAGAAAAAAAGACGGUUGUUUUACCUUCCCAAUUACACCUACGGCGUAAAAAGAAAGUGAUAUAUAACCAUUUUGUUCCUUUUAUUUUUUUCUUAAUUUAAUUGAACACAAAACGGUUUAAAAAAAAUUUUUUAGCAUCAACUCCUAUUAGAAUAUAAAUUGGAUGUAAUAUGAUGAAUAUAAGUUGGACGGAUUGACAAAAUAAAAAAAUUACGUAAAAUAAGCAUGAAGCGACCUAAAUCUUGAAAUGUGUAUUUCUUUUCGUAACAUUUUCUCAAUUCACUUCUAUUCGUUUCUUUUCUUUCUUCUUCUAAAUUUUGUUUAAAAAAAUUUCAUGGUACGCUUUACCCCAAUUAGAUUCUGUGAAUCCAUUACGGAAGCUACAGUUUACGAACCUCACAGUAGGAGAUAACAUAUAGUUACCUCCUCAUAGUACAAUUGCAUAAUUUUAAAUGUCUUUUGGGCUAACUCAAAAAAAUCAUGAAUAAAAUAAAAGAAUAAUUUAUGUCUGUCCACUACUAUAUAAUAUCCUUGAGACAGAUAUGAUCCAGACAUAAAUCAUUCAUGUCGGAGCAUCUUUACACACCUCCUGGUGAGAAUGUGAAGCAACAUCAGUUGUGAAUUGGAAAACAAACGAGAUUCUAUUAUAUAGAUAUUUCUUACGUAAUAUCCUUAACAAAACGGAAUGAUUAAAAAAAAAAAGGUGUUUUUCCUUCAAAGACGAUUUUAUAUCAAAGGCAGACAGUCACUAAUGAAAAGUUACUGGAACUAAUGCAUGGAGUAAAUGAUAAAGAUGAAAUGGAAAAGGAUUGACAGUAAAAAAUAUAAGUAUAAAGAGGGUCGCGUGUCCAUUGUUAUCUUAAUUAUUUCCGAAUAAAGACAGAAAAGGGAAAGUUCUAUUCAGAUAUCGUAAUUUAUCGACGCCUUAUUGAAACAUUCAAAGAUACCUUCUAUCAUUGUCGUAUCUUUUGACGCAGGUUUCUUUCCAUACGUUAAAACGCAAUUGCCAGAAUUUCGGACACCUUUUAUAGAGUUCGAGAAGCACAUGGCUAACUUUUGUACACUCAGACAAAAUUACAUAUUUAAUUAUAAGAUACAUUUAACUUUUAUUUCGACAUGCCUAUCAUAAAAUAUCAAAGACAAAACUGAGUACUUUCUCAUGAUGUUUAAGCGAAAUUUUAAGUGUCUUAUAUUAAUGUAGGCAGAAAUUUCAUAUCAAUAAGUUAUUUACGCGAUUUUCCGAUUCUCGUCACAUGUUUGCGGUAAAAGUUCUUUGAAUCUUUGUGUUAAAAAGUUUCGAGUUUUUAUUCGUAUCACAACAAAAGAGGAGAUCCCGUCGUGCUUUCGCCAUGAAAUUUGACACGUGGCAUGACGAAAUUAAGAAAUUCCGUCAUCGACGACCCAAAUUUAUGAUGAAAGAAAGAGGAAAGUGCACGCAUGUAGAAUAUUCGUCCGAAUCCGAUACAUAAUUUGGCAAAAAACGCAGUUAGAUAGGUACGUGGAAUUACGAAUAAAAUUAUUACAUCACAAACACGUGAUGUAAUAAAAAGGGAUAUUUUUACCUCUUCCCAAUUCUACAAAUUUUUUAAUUUAAAAGUGACAUGAUAAAAUUACGUUUAUCUAAUAAUUCGCGCGCACGCGCUACACGACAAAGGACAAUACAAUGUUAUCGUAAUAGGCAUUUACAUCGGCGUUGUAAAAUGUCCGAGAGACAAUUGGGCAAUGUUGUUACACGACCGUAACCAAAUCUUUCAUCCCUGCUGUUACGUAAUAACAAAGUGAAAGCGGGAUCGUCGUCACUUGCGUGUGCACAACAUCGAAUACUUCUACAAUCAAUUUACCCUCAACGUUACAUUUUUCUUUGAACAAUACUCACUUUUCCUCCCUUGCUUUUCUAUUUGCCAUGACUCGGAUGAAUGAUGAGACCUUUCGCUCGGGUAAGAAAUGAAAUUUUUCUUCUUUAACCGAACACACAUAAAUCACGUAAGUGAUUUUGCGCGUGCGAAGCGUGUGUCAUUCGCCUGAUGCAAGCAAGAUGCGCAACAAGUGUAUCUCUGGUAACAAUGGAUAUUGAUGCACUCUUAUUUACAUUGUUAAACUGGUAUUGUCAAACUACUUAAUUUAAAUCAUUUUUAACGAUUUAAUAGGUCGCCAUUGCUCCUACCCAAUAGAAAGAUUAAAUUUAAUAAAUCAACGAUAUAUCGAGUAAGUACUUAUUUAACAUUACUCAAAUUAAUUACUUGGUUUAGUCAAAUUAACCAAAUAUCGAGUUGGAGCAAUUGCGACAAUGGAAAUUAACAGUGUACAUCACGCGAUACUUACAUAGAAUCCCUAGAAUAGGGACUUUCUAGUUUAGUCCAAGUCUAUUCUAAGGACUCUACCUGCGUGCGUGCACCCGCCUUGUCCUCUCUUUGAAUUUAUUAUGAGCGGUAGAAUUUCUGAAUUUUGUGUGGCACGCGCCAAAUUUCAUGAUGAAAGCACAGCAGGAAUCUUUCCUUUGUUUCAUUCUUUCGUUACGUUCGUACAAAUAAAAGCCGACCAAACUGAUUUAUAUUUCACGCUGAAACUGCCGUAACAAUCAUAAACAAAAUAUAAAGUACAUUGUUACGACAAUAAAACAGACCGAAAAGUUUGAAAUGUGACAAAGUACACCAGUCACAAAUAAAAUACAAAAAAGAAACACAAAAAAAGGAAAAUGUUUGAAGCAAAGAAAUAAAAUUUCUCAUCCAACGAGCUUCGUAUUCAUUGAAAAAAUUAUAAGCUUUGAGUGAAACUACCUAAGAAAAAUUAACUAUAAUUGGCAUACACUUCUGAACCCUUUGAAUUCAGUUUUUUUUCUUUCUAGGAAAAUUGCUUUAUUGCGUUCGUCAAAAUAAGAUAAAUGCAACAUGUUGCUAUAAAAUUUGUCGGUACAACUGCCUCAAUCUUUUGCGUACAUUCUACAUAUUAUAAAUCAACUAGUAAUAAUAAAUUUACUCAAUUGUUUAAUUGAUUCGACAUAUAUUAAGUAAUUUUAUUUGCCUACACCAUUACCGAUUUUUCAAGUAGUUUCGUGAAAUAUACAAUCAACUAUUAUGAAUAUAUAAAAAUAAGAGAUAAUAGAUCAUUUGUAAAUUUUUAAUUUACAAAUCUUGUAUUGUUUAUAACUACAUUUAAAUUUAUGUUUAAUUAUAUGCAAAAAAUAUUUUAAUUACAUAGAAGGUAUAAUUUCAGAUAAUUAUAAAAAUGUAAUUUUUAUAUUAAUAUAUUGACACGCGUAAUUAUCAAGAUUCCGAGUCAAACCGGAAUCGAAACCGAACAUUUCACAACCGUUACAGUCAGAGCGUAAAGUAUAUUAAAAUUCUAUUAAAUUUAAAACAUCGAAAUCAUUAAAUUAUUUUCGAUUUAUAGUUCUUUUCAGUAUAUUUUCAGUUGUUUCAAUUUAUUUUGUACAAACUUAUAUGACUUAUUUAAAUUUUUUAUUCUUUUCUUAACUGGUCAUUUUAAUAAUAUUUCGAUAAUGAUGAAACCAAUGUCAUGAUUACAUUAUGCAUAUCUUUCAAAUGUAACACACUCCGCGUGGUAAAUUUGGCAAAAUUUUGGAUUUGGUUCUACUACGCUUAUGGCUAAGGUUUAGCUUGAUACUAUAAACGCUUCGAAGCAUUUUUUGGUUAAUCAAUUCAUGAAAUUCUUUGUUGUAAUUGGUCAAUAAAAUGCUUUGGAGCGUUUAUAGCGUCAAGUGGACCGCAGACUGUCGCACACAGUGAAACAUAGUGAAUGAAUAAAAAUAAUAUUAUUUAUUAAAUAUGUAUUACGUAUAAGAAUUAUAUUAUGUAUAAUUAUAAAAUUAAAUAAACUUAGCAAGUGAAGUUCGAUCUAAAUUAUAUCCGGGCUCUCGUCCGGAUGAAUAAUAAUGUAGUCGCGUGGAAGCGCGACUAUAUUAUUAUUCAUCGAAACGAGGCCUAAAAUAUAAUUAUAUAUAUUAUAUUAUGUAAGGAAUUAUAUAAGAAAGUCUUACUAAGAAUUUAAAUUAAGAAUUUUUUUACCAUGUAAAAAAAUUAUAUUAAACGAAGCAUUUAUAUACGCACAUACACACAAUAUUUAUAACAAAGAAAGGAGAAUUAAAUAUAUAUUCUAAAUAUAAAUUAUUAAUCAUAUUAAUUAAACACAAUAUACAUUAAUUUUGUUUGCUACGUUUUGCUUGCAAUUUUGCUUACAACUAUUCCUGUCUUUUUUUCUUGGUUCUCUUCAUUAUUCUUUGUUUUUCUCUUUUGCAAUGCAAUGAGUUUAUGGGGACAAUUCAAAUCAACCUUUGCCUCCUCUACGUACUCAAUUAUUUAAAUUACUAUUACAUGUUAUUAAAUAUUAUUAAUUACUAUUCAAUUAUUACUUAUUAAGUGAUAUUAAGAUCAAGAAUCGAAACUGUAAUCGAAAAAACCGCAAUUUAAACUUUUUUUUUUAUUUGUCAAGAAACUGAAACUGAAAACCGGUAGUUUCCAAAUAUUUGAUUAAAUCAUAACUGAAACCGAACCAUAAUUUUAUUUCGGGUCUUUGGUAAUUACUAAUCACUUCAUUUUGGACUAAUCGCUUCACCUUGCAUCAUAUUGGUUCUGUUUCUAUUAUUAAUCGUUUUUUACUUAGUUAUUAUCUUUGUACAAUAUCGAAGAGAUUAUACUUUGUGUAAUUGUUAUUUAGAGGACAAUAAUGACAGAUUUGCACUCGCGUUAAGCUGCCGGUAUCCAAAUUAAGCCAUCAUUAGUAUAUGCGUGGCAAUUGCAAAAUUGCGACCGGAAUAUUUCCGAUGGCGGAAUCUCACGCGCUACAUUAUCAAAUUGGCAGGAGCUGUGCGCGAUACUUCCUGUUGAUAAUUUUAUGUCAUUUCCUAUACAUUAUCUAUUCUGAUACCCGUUUCGCGAUGAACAGCGACACUUGUACUUGUUCAUCAAGUGACAAUCGAUUGUGUCUUCAUCAUUCAUACUUCAUCCGAAAAAGGAUGUACAUUCAAGAGUCGAUAAGAAAAUCAUGAGACAUAUUCAAGUAUAACAUUCACAGACAAUAUUGUUUUUCCUUUAAGCAAACAAUUAGCAAAUUUAACUAUUUUUAAAUGUAUUUAAUAUAAUUACAUAAUUCAUGUGUAAUUUUCGUCAUAAGAUUUUGAUUAAGCAGAUAAAAACGUGUUUAAUAAAAGGUAUAACUUUGUAAAAAAUAUCUUAAAAAAAAUUGCUUUGCAACUCGGUAUUUAUCAUUUGUUUACCGAUGUUACCGGAAACGCAUGGUGAUCUCGCGUGCCAACACAAUUCCGGGUAUGGUUCGGCGAUCAUAGCGGCGAGUGUCACGUCAUUGUCAGCCACGUGAGAGAGACACACAAUUGUCUUUCCUGUUAUAAAUUACUUCGACGCAUCGUAACAGAAAGCGUCAACCAGCUUUGCUGCGUGUUGUAAAGUCGACAAUAGUGCGCGACGUGAGUACGGAGAUGUCUGGUCGAUAAAUUACGAUGAAAGUAUAAACGCGUUUCUACAAAUUUUGAUCCGUGUGGAACAUCGGAACCAUAAUAACUUAUUUUGAAGUAGUUUUCCCGACUACUACACAAUACAGAAUUCAAUAACUACUUAUUCUCGUGGAUGUCUAUGAGUAUGCCACGAGAAAAAAAUCAAUAAAAAAAGAAUUAUUAUUCGCUUAAAGAAAUAAUUCUUGAGAAAAUAGCAAAAAUGUCACAUAAAAUAGUUUAAUAUACCUUGAAUUAAAAACGAGUGAGCACGAACGUUUUAUAUUUAAUCUUUGACUGUUUUCUUUGAAACUAUAAUGUAUCGUCGAAUUUAUCUACAAACGAAAUUGAUUAUUUUUGUGAUUCAAAAACGACCCAACGGCGUUUGCCGAUAGUUGCAAAAAAAAACAAAAAACGGAAGCUGACCGCGCGAAAAGUGGAGCAGGUCGACCGUCCGACGCCUCCGUGACACUAAUUAUCCACUUUAAUUCGUAUAUGUCGAAAUCGCAUGCAAAUUUUAUGCGAACAGAUUCAACCACGGGUUGUUGCGUCCGGCACGUCUUCGCGAGUCAGAUUUUGUUCAACGUUUAAAUGCAGCGAUACUUGUGCGACGAUGUACAUUGCUUUUUUAUUUCACAGAUCAGGAUUCUUUUAUUUAUAAUUACAAUACAUAUAAUAUCAUAUAUGUAUAUGACGCAAUUCAAGUAGAGAAUUAGAUAGGUGAAUAAACGAUCAUGGCGGAUUUUUGUGCUUCUUGUCACAGAGAAUAACAGCAGGGUAAGAGCGGCUAAGAACAUGCAACUUAUUAAUUAGAUAAUUCUGAAGUGGAGCAAAGGUUUGAGAUGACUAGACAAAUGGACGGAUAAACUGGGACAAGUGGAAGAACGGGGCAAAUAUUAAAACAAAAACUCUGUUUGACAAAUUUAUUAAUAAUUUCAUGGAUUCAAAAACACGACAAAAACGUCAUCAAAUUUCAAGUAUUAAAAAAAUAUUUUCAUAAUUUGUGAAAUAAUAAUUAACUCGCUUCUCUUCCUGAUCAUCGUUUUAUUUAGCACCUGUAUUUAAACGGAACCGGCUUGCCCCAGUCUACUAUACUUAAAUGAUUCAGUGGAGUCAUCGUCGCGUUGGGUAGAAGCGUGCGGAUACUUUGCAAACGAGCUUCGUGGAAUACCGGCUCGUCUCGAAUGAACGCAGAGACAAAACAAAGAAGUGGUGUGCAGUUGGAGAGAGCCAUUGAGAGGAAAAA